rnacentral:rRNA from 1 species
UACGUAGGGGGGCAAGCGUUUGUCCGGAUUUAUUGGGCGUAAAGAGCGUGUAGGCGGCCAAGCAGGUCCGUUGUGAAAACUGGAGGCUUAACCUUCAGACGUCGACGGAAACCGCGCGGCUAGAGUCCGGAAGAGGAGAGUGGAAUUCCUGGUGUAGCGGUGAAAUGCGCAGAUAUCAGGAAGAACACCAAUGGCGAAGGCAGCUCUCUGGGACGGUACUGACGCUGAGACGCGAAAGCGUGGGGAGCGAACAGG